rnacentral:rRNA from 1 species
GACGAACGCUGGCGGCGUGCUUAACACAUGCAAGUCGAACGGAAAGGCCCUGCUUUUGUGGGGUGCUCGAGUGGCGAACGGGUGAGUAACACGUGAGUAACCUGCCCUUGACUUUGGGAUAACUUCAGGAAACUGGGGCUAAUACCGGAUAGGAGCUCCUGCUGCAUGGUGGGGGUUGGAAAGUUUCGGCGGUUGGGGAUGGACUCGCGGCUUAUCAGCUUGUUGGUGGGUAGUGGCAUACCAAGGCUUUGCCUGGUAGCCGGCCUGGGAGGGUGACCGGCCACAUUGGGACUGAGAUACGGCCCAGACUCCUACGGGGGGCAGCAGUGGGGAAUAUUGCACAAUGGGCGGAAGCCUGAGGCGGCAACGCCGCGUGCGGGAUGACGGCCUUCGGGUUGUAAACCGCUGUCGCCUGUGACGAAGCGUGAGUGACGGUAAUGGGUAAAUAAGCACCGGCUAACUACGUG